AUACACCUGGGGAGUUGUCUGCAAAAGACGUCUAGCUAAAAGGUGCAAUUAAAAAUCCCUAUAUAAGCACUGGGAUCCCUAAACCCAGUAUCACAAGCUCUCAGCUUGAGUCCUCCAUUUCUCUUGGCAACUCAGGUACACUCCAGUUGGCUAAACAAGAUGACUCGCCGUCUUCUGAGAAGCAUCAUCAGUAUCAUUGAUGCUUUCCUCUCUAAUGCAAAGAGUGAUGGAGACUAUCAGAGGCUGAAUGAGACAGAACUUAAGAAACUUCUCCAAGAAGAGUUUGGAAAUGCUCUGGAGGAAUCAAAUAAUUCUGAGACAACAGAAAAAAUCCUCCAGCAGCUGGAUCAAGAUGGUGACCAAACAAAUGAUUUCAGUGAAUUAAUCUUGCUCAUAUCUGCAGUGACAACAGCCUACUACACACACAUAAAACCUCUUCUCUACCCCAAAAUAAAAGAAAGGGAGAGAAGAUGUGUAAUUCAAGAAAAACAAGUA